GUUGACUCCUUCAAAGGCAGGGAGGUUCUACAGAGAGACCUCAAAAAAUCAGUGGGCUGAGCAAUCACCAACCAGAUCAAGUUCAUCAAGUGAAAGUGCUGGAUUCUGUACCUGGGAUGGGGUUACCCUGGAUAUGCAAGGUGCAAGAUACAAAACUCCAUGUGAGCUCAUACAUCAGUGCUGACAAAGGCCAGUGCUUCCUGACCUCAGCCAUGGGAGUACCAGAAGACAAUAGCCACAUUGUUUGGAGCAGAGGUUAAGGAGCUGAUUUAGCAUUAUUGUCAUUCUAUAUUGAAAUUAAUUUAAAAACUAA